rnacentral:rRNA from 1 species
GGGGGGGGGGGGGGGGGGGGGGGGGGGGGGGGGGGCGGAGGGGGAGGCGGGGGGGGGGGGGGGGGCUCGAGUGGCGAACGGGGGAGUAACACGUGAGUAAGCUGGCCUGGACUUGGGGAUAACUUCAGGAAACUGGGGCUAAUACCGGAUAGGAGCUCCGGCGGCAUGGUGGGGGUUGGAAAGUGUCGGCGGUUGGGGAUGGACUCGCGGCUUAUCAGCGUGUUGGUGGGGUAGUGGCUUACCAAGGCUUUGACGGGUAGCCGGCCUGAGAGGGUGACCGGCCACAUUGGGACUGAGAUACGGCCCAGACUCCUACGGGAGGCAGCAGUGGGGAAUAUUGCACAAUGGGCGGAAGCCUGAUGCAGCAACGCCGCGUGCGGGAUGACGGCCUUCGGGUUGUAAACCGCUUUCGCCUGUGACGAAGCGUGAGUGACGGUAAUGGGUAAAGAAGCACCGGCUAACUACGUG